ensembl:lncRNA
UCUCCUUCAAUUGGUAAAACAAUUCAUUUUAUUGUGGUUUCUGCAGAGGGUUCUUUAUAUAUUUGAAAAUCGUCUCUGUUCUCACUAGAAACAAUAGAUUUUUUUCAGUCUUGCUUUAUAGGUUGCAUUGUGCAGUUCUCUAGUCUUUAUUGUUUCUUUCUUCUCUGUUAUUUUGCUCUUUUACUAAACUUGCUGUUCAGAGCAGAGCUCAGUGGUUCCUUACUGACCUAAUCAGUAUCAAGCAAAUAAGUAAAUGAAAACAACAACUUCCUGUAAUAACUUAUAUAUGAAUACAUCUGGGAAUGUCAUUAACCAUUUUCAAGGCAGGAUCAUGUUGCUAAUUUAUAUUCAGCUCAUGAUAUACAAGGCCCCCAGGACCUUUGCUGGCAGAGUUGCUGCUUCACCAGUUAUUCCUCAUUUCGUAUUUGUGAGUUUGAUUUCUCCUUGCUAAGUGCAUCACUUUGCACUCAUCUUUAUUGAAUUUCAUCUUAUUGAUUUCAGGUCCUUCAAUUUAUCAUUUUGAAUUCUGAUCCUGUCCUUUGAGGUGCCCACAACCCCUGCUAGCUUGGUAGGAAGCUCAGCUGUUAUAAGCAUACAGUGUAUUUUGUCAUCCAGAUCAUCACUGAAAAUAUUUUAUAGACUCAUAUUUAGAUCUGACCCGACUUGAAAUUCCCUCCUAUACUGACAGUGAGACAUCCAUGCUUUCAGAAGGGGUUUUCAAUUAGUCUUGCAUCCAUUUUAAACCACUAUUUUCUUGACCAUAUUUUCCAAUAUUCCUAUGAAAAUAUUGCUGAGAUGGUCAAGGAAUAAAAUAAAUGGGCCUAUCCAUUUGCAUGUGAAGCAAAGUUUCAGAAAAAAAAACCCAAACUUCCCAAUUUAACUGGAAUAAAAAAAAAAAACAACCUAAAAAAAUUAAAUGUCAGGAAAUAAUCAGAAGUUGUACUCUGUUGCAGCCUGUUGGGAAGAUUGAAAGAAUAAUUAAGCUAUCAGAUAAGCUGAUAAGAGCACUAAAAGUUUAAAGAAGUUGUAGUGAAAUUAAUGCAUUUCUGAGAUUCCAUGCAAAAUCCAGCUUUGUGAAAGGGAUAACAGAAAAUGUCCAGCUUCUUGAUUAAAUGCAAAUUAGAAGAAUCCAGGUAUUAAACUAAGUGAGCUUUAAGAUUUGUAAAUAAAUAUUUUGUGAUUAAAACUAAGAACUUCUGAAAAUAUAUAUAGUCACAUUACAAUGCAUCAGCUUUUAAAGGGGGGUGAAGGGUUAAGCAAAGAUAUGUAAAAGGAAACUCCUUGACAUUUUGUGGAGCCACAGAAAUGGCCAAAAGAAAACCCUCAAACAGAUUCAUAGAAAACAGCCCUGUCAGGGCCUGGUAGGUCACCCAGAGCAUCCCCAGGGCAGGAUCUCCAUCAAAACCUGUUGUGAGAGAUGUGAGUCUGACCUCUUCCCAAAACCCUCCUGUGCUGGGGUCUCUUUGGGAUCUGCCAGCAAUCAACUGCUCUGCUUCACCAACUCGAAUGUUUUAGAGUCUUUCUUGAGGAACAAACCCCUCUUUCCUUUCUGUAACUUCAGUCCUCCACUUUCAAUCCCAGUCCCAGCAGACAAGAAGAGCAAUUUGGGCUGGAUACAGCGGCUGUCAGCACUGUGCCUUUCAGCAGCCUGCUGUCAGGAGGAGUGCUGAGCAUGGAGUGGGGAUAAAACACAUCAUCACAGGGCAGAGAGCUCUGCAGAUUGGUGAAAAACACUGCAGAAUCUCCUAUUCUGGACAGCCUCAGACCCAACAAAUGAAGUAAAUUUGAUGAUUGGGAACAAAAUCUCCUUUAUCCUGGUCAAAAUGAGAGACACUACAGUACAGGGGUGGACAGCUUUUUUUCAUGUGGGACAUUAUGCUGUGGCGAAAUCUCAUUUUUCAAUGUCUUAUCAUUGAUCCUUCCUCCUGUUAGUUCACCAUGGCAACAUUUUGGUCCCAUUACUGAGUAUACAAUUAAGAUUUCAGAUUUCUAAUUUCAGACUGCAGAUGUACUGAUGGAUAUGAAGCACCCACGCCUGAGAUGUAUUAUGUGUGCUACACAGGCAGAUCCUCUGCAGCAGAAAUGUAUGCUUGCUUUUUCACCCAUUACACUGCCAUGAUAAUGUUUUCCUCAAACCAUGCAUCAGCCAGAAGAGAAGUGGAAGGCAGUGAGGCAACAAGAAAGUGGGGCUAGCAGCAGAGAGGCAGCUGGGGCAGGAGGGCAGGUGUGGAUAAGGGUAGGGGUACAUCAGAAUGGUGGACAAGGAUGGGAGAGUGAGGGUGCAGAGCAGAGAUGGAGAAAAUAAAAAAAACCAAAAACCUCAAAAAAGUGGCAGAUGGAGUCUACUAAGGACUCAGCAGGAUGGAAAGGAGAUGAUGUGGGCAAGGUAAGUAUUAGAGAAAAGGUGGCCUGUGAUAAGAGGCAUGAUUAGGGUGGGGGAGAAACAGUUUGGGUGGAGGGAGGCUAUGAGGAAGAGCCUCAGGAGGUAAAGAGGGAUGGCUUGCUCUUCUCAGCUGUAAACAGAAAUUAAAUGUUACCAGCAUCUGAGUAGCCAGAAUCUGCCUAGGCAUCUGCCUUUUCUGCCUCAGAUAAUUGGAGAUUAUUGUGGCAGGCUUCCUCAAAUAUUACUACACUUGUGAAAUAUAACUCUUUACAAUUUAAAAAUGAGCCGCAUAUCUUGAGGGACAAGCAUUAUAUUGAGAGUUUUUAAGAUAUGAGCUUGGCAAUGAGAUUGUUUUCAGAAAAAGCAUUUCCUCUCUGCUUGAAUUCUCCUUUAUCUUAAAAAAAUGAAAGUAAAAUGUAAUAAAAUGUAUCAGAAUGCCUGACACCUAAUCACAUAGCUUCUUAUUUGUAUUCAGCAAAAAUCCUUCUGAGGCAGCAGUUAUUAAGUGAACAGAAUCCCAUAAUGCUUUUUAAAUAUCAGGAGCAGGAGCAGCAAAGCACAAGGGAAGUGAAACUGCUGUCUCAUGGCUCUCUUGUUUUACCAAGCCAGUGCCCAGUGCACAUUGCAUUUUUGUUGUUUGAGUUGAGCCUGCUGAUCCUUGGUGCUCGUGGGGAAGAGAAGCAGGCUCCAGUCAGUUCUAGGGGAAGUCUGGUUUGUCAAUAGUGUGGCCUCUUUCAGACAGCAUUUUGGAAAGCUAUUUAUUUCACUCUCACCAUGGUGGGAUCUCUGAGUAAUAGGGAAGAUAGAAAAAAGACGAUGGAGAGAAAAAAACCCAAAAAAACCCAAAAAAAACCAACCAGAAAGAAAAGAGCAACUGUCUCCCCUUUUUGCUUUUUCAAUUCCAAAACUCAGGUUCCUUUAGUCCAGACAGGAGAGAAACAUAGGGCUUUUGGGGUAAGUGAUGUUCAUGACUUCCUGCCUGACUGCCACUGAGGGGGGUGUAGUCUGAGGUU